CAGGCUCUGGUGAGAUGUAGCUGGGGCUCGACUCUAGAUUGUGAGACAGCCGCACUGCUGGAGGAGCCUGGCACCAUCUUUAGGUAUAUGUGGUUGCUGUGGGACAUUACACCCGCGUUACAAACGCUUGGUGGGUAACAUCUUUCCCGAGGACCCCAGGGUAUGGGAUCCAGCAGCACAGAGCAUGUGCAGUGAAUCAGC